rnacentral:rRNA from 1 species
GACGAACGCUGGCGGCGUGCCUAAUACAUGCAAGUCGAACGCAGGGGGGACGGGUGAGUAACACGUGGGUAACCUCCCAUCAGAGGGGAUAACACUUGGAAACAGGUGCUAAACCGAUACUGAUGGAUGGACCCGCGGUGGAUUAGCUAGGUGGGGGGGUAACGGCUCACCAAGGCCACGAUGCAUAGCCGACUGGAGAGGAUGAUCGGCCACACUGGGACUGAGACACGGCCCAGACUCCUACGGGAGGCAGCAGUAGGGAAUAUUCGGCAAUGGACGAAAGUCUGACCGAGCAACGCCGCGUGAGUGAAGAAGGUCUUCGGAUCGUAAAACUCUGUUGUUGGGGAAGCGUUAUCUAACCAGAAAGCCACGGCUAACUACGUGCCAGCCGCCGCGGUAAUAC